GAUUAAGUUAUUAAGGGCGCACGGUGGAUGCCUUGGCACUAGAAGCCGAUGAAGGACGUUACUAACGACGAUAUGCUUUGGGGAGCUGUAAGUAAGCUUUGAUCCAGAGAUUUCCGAAUGGGGAAACCCAGCAUGAGUUAUGUCAUGUUAUCGAUAUGUGAAUACAUAGCAUAUCAGAAGGCACACCCGGAGAACUGAAACAUCUUAGUACCCGGAGGAAGAAAAAGAAAAUUCGAUUCCCUUAGUAGCGGCGAGCGAAACGGGAAGAGCCCAAACCAACAAGCUUGCUUGUUGGGGUUGUAGGACACUCUAUACGGAGUUACAAAGGACGACAUUAGACGAAUCAUCUGGAAAGAUGAAUCAAAGAAGGUAAUAAUCCUGUAGUCGAAAAUGUUGUCUCUCUUGAGUGGAUCCUGAGUACGACGGAACACGUGAAAUUCCGUCGGAAUCUGGGAGGACCAUCUCCUAAGGCUAAAUACUCUCUAGUGACCGAUAGUGAACCAGUACCGUGAGGGAAAGGUGAAAAGCACCCCGGAAGGGGAGUGAAAUAGAACCUGAAACCGUGUGCUUACAAGUAGUCAGAGCCCGUUAAUGGGUGAUGGCGUGCCUUUUGUAGAAUGAACCGGCGAGUUACGAUUUGAUGCAAGGUUAAGCAGUAAAUGUGGAGCCGUAGCGAAAGCGAGUCUGAAUAGGGCGUUUAGUAUUUGGUCGUAGACCCGAAACCAGGUGAUCUACCCUUGGUCAGGUUGAAGUUCAGGUAACACUGAAUGGAGGACCGAACCGACUUACGUUGAAAAGUGAGCGGAUGAACUGAGGGUAGCGGAGAAAUUCCAAUCGAACCUGGAGAUAGCUGGUUCUCUCCGAAAUAGCUUUAGGGCUAGCCUCAAGUGAUGAUUAUUGGAGGUAGAGCACUGUUUGGACGAGGGGCCCCUCUCGGGUUACCGAAUUCAGACAAACUCCGAAUGCCAAUUAAUUUAACUUGGGAGUCAGAACAUGGGUGAUAAGGUCCGUGUUCGAAAGGGAAACAGCCCAGACCACCAGCUAAGGUCCCAAAAUAUAUGUUAAGUGGAAAAGGAUGUGGCGUUGCCCAGACAACUAGGAUGUUGGCUUAGAAGCAGCCAUCAUUUAAAGAGUGCGUAAUAGCUCACUAGUCGAGUGACACUGCGCCGAAAAUGUACCGGGGCUAAACAUAUUACCGAAGCUGUGGAUUGUCCUUUGGACAAUGGUAGGAGAGCGUUCUAAGGGCGUUGAAGCAUGAUCGUAAGGACAUGUGGAGCGCUUAGAAGUGAGAAUGCCGGUGUGAGUAGCGAAAGACGGGUGAGAAUCCCGUCCACCGAUUGACUAAGGUUUCCAGAGGAAGGCUCGUCCGCUCUGGGUUAGUCGGGUCCUAAGCUGAGGCCGACAGGCGUAGGCGAUGGAUAACAGGUUGAUAUUCCUGUACCACCUAUAAUCGUUUUAAUCGAUGGGGGGACGCAGUAGGAUAGGCGAAGCGUGCGAUUGGAUUGCACGUCUAAGCAGUAAGGCUGAGUAUUAGGCAAAUCCGGUACUCGUUAAGGCUGAGCUGUGAUGGGGAGAAGACAUUGUGUCUUCGAGUCGUUGAUUUCACACUGCCGAGAAAAGCCUCUAGAUAGAAAAUAGGUGCCCGUACCGCAAACCGACACAGGUAGUCAAGAUGAGAAUUCUAAGGUGAGCGAGCGAACUCUCGUUAAGGAACUCGGCAAAAUGACCCCGUAACUUCGGGAGAAGGGGUGCUCUUUAGGGU
rnacentral:rRNA from 1 species